rnacentral:rRNA from 1 species
ACUACACUAUUACCUAGUACUGCGAGUGAGCGGGAAGAGCUCAAAUUUUGAAUCUGGCGUUCUUUUGAUCGCCCGAGUUGUAAUCUAGAGAAGCGUCUUCUGUGCUGGACCGUGUACAAGUCUCCUGGAAGGGAGCGUCAUAGAGGGUGAGAAUCCCGUCUUUGACACGAACCCACAGUGCUAUGUGAUGCGCUCUCAACGAGUCCAGUUGUUUGGGAAUGCAGCUCAAAAUGGGUGGUAAAUUCCAUCUAAAGCUAAAUACAGGCGAAAGACCGAUAGCGAACAAGUACCGUGAGGGAAAGAUGAAAAAAACUUUUAAAAGAGAGUUAAACAGUACGUGAAAUUUCUGAAAGGGAAACGCUUGAUGUCAGUCCCGUCGGCCGGGGAUCAACCCUGCGUUCUUUUCUGGGUGUACUUCCCUGUCCACAGGUCAACAUCAGUUUCUAUCGCGGUACAAGGGGGAGGGGGACAUGGGACUCUCUUUUUGGGGG